rnacentral:tRNA from 1 species
AAAGGGAGACCUAAUUCAGGUAAAAGACGAAAAAAAAGUAGUCGCUACCAAGAAUCAAUCCCAAAAGGUCGGAGCGAGGCGAAAUUGGCUUUCAAACUAGGUUCUGGGUUCAAACAAGACCUGAAUCAGGAACAAGGGCUAUUAGCUCAGGUGGUUAGAGCGCACCCCUGAUAAGGGUGAGGUCCCUGGUUCGAGUCCAGGAUGGCCCACCUGCACAGGUGGCAAAAACAAGAGAAGCGAGGAAUUAGCACCUUAUCUUACUGACAUAGUAAGAGAGAAUGCUGGCUCUGAGUAAAGAGUCCAGAGGAACCUUGAAAACUGCAUAGAGCUAGGUGAAAAAGCCAAAAAAGAAGACCGCAAG